rnacentral:lncRNA from 1 species
UAGAGCUAUGUUACAUUGAAUGGCAAAAGUGACUUUGUAGAGCAGACAGUUGGCUUAGCAACUCUGAGUGGUGGGCUCAACAGAAGAACAAGCUGAUAGAAGUCCUUGGGCUCUGAGGCUCCAUUCUAAUCAAAGUACUUCUCCAACCAGAGGACUUCCAUUGAUCAAUAGCCACUCAGAUGUUCUGUGUUUGCCAUGAGUAUCGGACUUCAGUCUUCUGGAAAGAUGGCUGUGGUGCCUAAACACAUCUGUGCCUGGCCUCACCCGCGGGUGUCGUUUAUCCGGAUGCUGCAUGAUUAAGACCACCAUACUCUUAUCAAGCAUACAGGUGUUAAUGUCUAUUUUAAAGAGGAGAGAACUCAAGAAGUUCUGUAGAAACUGCUUUCUUCAUCAUAUCUCAAAGGAUUUGCUGAGGAUUUCAGAGGUGCCACGAGUUGAGAGAAGACUUCGGACAUUUCACUUAAUGCUGAAAAUUCACUCUACUGCCACUACUCAGGACUUCUGAUGGGCAUGAAAAUCCAAGCCUGCUUUAUGAUAUUAACCUCUGAAUUUCAUAAACCGCUUAAAACUUUAGAAUGUCCAGAAAACACUGGUAGAAUACGGACACAUGAGACAAGGCCAGAAAGGAAGUCAAUAAAAUGUGAUUACUAAGCAAAUUACCACCAGAGAAGCAGAAGGAAAUCCCUCUUCAAUAUUUUGAGAGACAGUAAAGAACAUUCCCUGGAGUUAGGACAAAUGAAGAGCAAGAAGUUUCAUCUUGCUCUGUCAUCCAGGCUGGAGUGCAGGGGCACCAUCUCGGCUCACUGAAACCUCCACUUCCCGGGUUCAAGCGAUUCUCCUGCCUCAGCCUCCUGAGUAACUGGGGUUACAGAGUGAAUAGACAACCUACAGAAUGGGAGAAAAUACUUGCAAGCUAUGUAUCCAACAAAGGACUAAUAUCGAGAAUUUACAAGGAACUCAAACAAAACUCAACAAGAGUAAAACAACCCCAAUAAAAAGGAAAGUGAACACAUUUGGAAAUAUUGGCUCAGCAUUGCAGCUAUACCCUUUAGACAGGAAACACACUUUCCAGUUCUCCUUGACAGAGAGGCUGAAGGUCAACUGAUGGUCCAGAAUAUUGCUGGAGCUCCAGCCAUCAUUUCUGAAUGCCAAGAAACAGAAAUGGGGAAAAGCUUGACUGCAAAAGGAUCCUCUUAUCAGCUAAGCCAGCUUACUUUCCACAGAUGUCUUGGAAAUCUUUCACAACACUUUUAUUUUUGUCUCAGUGACCAGCUCUUGCCAUGUGGUCACACCUGGAUGAAGGACAAAGAAGUACAGCCUUUUGGCUAGGCACAUUUCUGCUCUGAAUAAAAUUUGGACUAAAGAAGAGA